rnacentral:misc_RNA from 1 species
UGUAUCUCCCCCUUACAAUUUUCAACCCCCAAAGCUAUGUUAAGCCUUGUUAUUGCCACAAUGUCGCACAGUUUAGCGCGUUUUCUUGUGUGGCACAGUUGGUCCUGUUCUCGACGACUCCCAGUGCAACAACCGACCCUCCAGCUCCGUUGCAUCUGUGCUGGGUGUAUUUUUUCGAACAGGAUCCUGAAGGCGAUUAGAAUCAAAUAAAAAAUCACAGGCCACGUGUAUUUAUUUGACAGAAGGAUAAAGGAAAUUGUGCGUAAAAUCGAUAAAAGAACUGGACAUUGAAAAUCAUCCCCUGGCUCCUGGUCGACUCCUAGCUGAACUUGAAAACUCGAGGAGGGAAGUGCAUUUCUAGCGCCAAAAGUCAGCGCCUGCCCCGCCUACCACCACCAGAACAACAAUACACACCGCCCACCCGGAGAGCCGCUGAUAAUGCCAAUGCACAUCCCGUAUCCGGUUAAUUGGAUACCCGUUCUGCCAGCCGCCCGAUGUCAAGAAUGGGCGCCAGUUUACGCUUUAAUUAUCUCUGCCCAACCCCUGGUCGCUGGUGGCAGCCACCUGACCCUGCGGGGCCACCGCUUUGUGCUCAGAGCGGGAGCUUAGGUGCUUGCAUCUAAAAAUAAGUGCGGCGGAAAAAGCACGGAGAGGCGCAAACAUGCCGGCUGGAAAAUAAAUAUAAUCAGGCUAAGACCGUUGGU